AUUGAACGCUGGCGGCAGGCUUAACACAUGCAAGUCGAGCGGUAACAGAGAGAAGCUUGCUUCUCUGCUGACGAGCGGCGGACGGGUGAGUAAUGCCUAGGAAUCUGCCUAGUAGUGGGGGAUAACUUGCCGAAAGGUAAGCUAAUACCGCAUACGUCCUCCGGGAGAAAGGAGGGGACCUACGGGCCUUUCGCUAUUAGAUGAGGCUAGGUCGGAUUAGUUAGUUGGUGAGGUAAUGGCUCACCAAGACCGCGAUCCGUAACUGGUCUGAGAGGAUGAUCAGUCACACUGGAACUGAGACACGGUCCAGACUCCUACGGGAGGCAGCAGUGGGGAAUAUUGGACAAUGGGGGGAACCCUGAUCCAGCCAUGCCGCGUGUGUGAAGAAGGUCUUAGGAUUGUAAAGCACUUUAAGUUGGGAGGAAGAGCAGUUAACUAAUAUUUGACUGUUUUGACGUUACCGACAGAAUAAGCACCGGCUAACUUCAUGCCAGCCGCCGCAGUAA
rnacentral:rRNA from 1 species